UUGGAAUGAAGUUCUGCUAAGUGCGCGACGUCCUGUCGCAACGCAGAACUGACCCGCGUCUUGUGGG
rnacentral:sRNA from 1 species